CCUACGGGAGACAGCAGUGAGGAAUAUUGGUCAAUGGCCGUAAGGCUGAACCAGCCAAGUCGCGUGAAGGAAGAAGGAUCUAUGGUUUGUAAACUUCUUUUAUAUGGGAAUAAAGGUAUCCACGUGUGGAUAUUUGCAUGUACCCUAUGAAUAAGCAUCGGCUAACUCAGUGCCAGCAGCCGCGGUAAUACGGAGGAUGCGAGCGUUAUCCGGAUUUAUUGGGUUUAAAGGGUGCGUAGGUUGUUUUUUAAGUCAGCGGUGAAAGUUUGUGGCUCAACCAUAAAAUUGCCGUUGAAACUGGAAGACGUGAGUGUGUUUGAGGUAGGCGGAAUGCGUGGUGUAGCGGUGAAAUGCAUAGAUAUCACGCAGAACUCCGAUUGCGAAGGCAGCUUACUAAGCCAUAACUGACACUGAAGCACGAAAGCGUGGGGAUCAAACAGGAUUAGAUACCCGAGUAGUC
rnacentral:rRNA from 1 species